AAUUUCAGCUUAACCCAUUCAUGAAAUCCGAAACGCUGCAAAGCGACGAGAAGAUUUUUAUUCACCUAUAAUUUUUUUCAGAAAGGGCAUUUCAGUAUUUUUAUAAUUGCGUAAACAGAAAUAAAAGCUCGAAAAAAGACGAAAAUCUGCCGCGGUGGAUUUUAACCGUAAAGGGUGCACAAUAGCAAUCCCAUGUGAUCUUUACUCAUAUCAUACGCACCAUGCGAACUGCGCACUUUCCCUUUUAACCUCCCCCGCCUUAGCAUUUCUUGAAGCUAGAGACUUCGUAAAGCUUAACAGAUCAGAGAGAGAACUGUUACCGAGUGAGUGACUCAGUGAGUUAGGGGUGACAAG
rnacentral:lncRNA from 1 species